CCUGACUGCUAUCGGAUUGAUACUAAGCCAUGCGAGUCAUUGUAGUAAUACAAGGCAGACGGCUCAGUAACGCGUAGUCAACCUACCCUAUGGACGGGAAUAACCUCGGGAAACUGAGUAUAAUGCCCGAUAGAACACUAUACCUGGAAUGGUUUGUGUUCCAAAUGAAUGUCGCCGUAGGAUGGGACUGCGGCCUAUCAGUUUGUUGGUGAGGUAAUGGCCCACCAAGACUAUUACAGGUACGGGCUCUGAGAGGAGUAGCCCGGAGAUGGGUACUGAGACACGGACCCAGGCCCUAUGGGGCGCAGCAGGCGAGAAAACUUUGCAAUGUGCGAAAGCACGACAAGGUUAAUCCGAGUGGUUUGUGCUAAACGAACCUUUUGACAGUCCUAGAAACACUGUUGAAUAAGGGGUGGGCAAGUUCUGGUGUCAGCCGCCGCGGUAAAACCAGCACCUCAAGUGGUCAGGAUGAUUAUUGGGCCUAAAGCAUCCGUAGCCGGCUCUGUAAGUUUUCGGUUAAAUCUGUACGCUCAACGUACAGGCUGCCGGGAAUACUGCAGAGCUAGGGAGUGGGAGAGGUAGACGGUACUCGGUAGGAAGGGGUAAAAUCCUUUGAUCUAUUGAUGACCACCUGUGGCGAAGGCGGUCUACCAGAACACGUCCGACGGUGAGGGAUGAAAGCUGGGGGAGCAAACCGGAUUAGAUACCCGGGUAGUCCCAGCUGUAACUAUGCAAACUCAGUGAUGCAUUG
rnacentral:rRNA from 1 species